UGUGUGUGUGACUUAGAAUGAGAAAGAGAUCUAAAGUUAAUCACAGAUAAUAAACAUGUGUUGUUGUUUGUUUUAAAGCUUUGACAAUGUUGUCUUUUUGUCUUUCAUGCCAGCUAGAGGGAGACAGGGAGAAGGAGAGAGAGAGCUAGACCCUUGAACAGAGAGAGAGAGAGAGAAAAUGUAAAGACUGGCUAAAGCACCACCAGGUGCUGCCUCCUUCAUGGUUCUUCAACAUUGCUAAUGCAUUCUCCACGGAGGCCCAGUGACAUCAGCCCUGCAGUAGCCUCAAAGAGUUCAGCCGGUGUGCUGGAGUGAAGGUCAGGGGAAGUAGGACAUGAAAGCAGCUUCUUCUGUCCCAGCAGAAGUUCUUCUUGUCUGACACAUGGUUGGCAGGCUAGGCUGAUCUCUGCAUCCAGAGAUACUUUUUAACCAGGUAAAAACACAGACAGUCACACACUGUUGGGUUCUCAAUGUUUAAAGGAGACAUAUUAUGGCGUUUUCACAACAAGUAAACAUAUUAUUUGAGUUCCAGAAAACAUGUUUUAAAAGCUGUUUGCUGGAAAUAACUAUAGAAAAAAAAUCUCGCCUACCGCUAUACCCCUCUGUUUUAGUCAUGGACAUAUUAUAGAAUGGACAGCGGGAUCCCAAAUGGCGCCCAUUCAUUCCUCCAUUCAAGGAGAGAUUUGCUUCUGCAUCAUGGGAGCCUAGCCACACCCUUGUUCAUGAGGUACCAGAUGCAGAAAUAUUCAUUGUUUCUAGCAUUGUUAGCAUUGUAGCAUCAUAAGCGAGAGGUCUGAGAGAUCGCAGUCGCAUUGUUUACCGAGCAAGGAAGUAUAAGUUUCAUGAAUAUGAAAAAUUGCUCCAUAUAACAGCAACGACAUAGUAAAUGUAUGUAGGCCUCGAAAAAAAUACAGUUCAAUGUUAUUGCUUAAGAAACAGAUCCUUCAAACUAUUUAUAAAAAAUGCAAUCAAUAAUUUAUAUACAAAUAAAUGGUUACAUAUCGAUCAGCAACGAGGUUGGAGUAGCCUACCCACAUAAAUAAUUGUAAUACACCAACAUUGUAAACUGUCACACAGCUAAACAAGCAAAUGAAAAAAUAAAUACUAACGCAACUGAAAUGUUUAUUAGGCUAUUAACAAUAUUAUGAAAAUGAUACCGUAAUGCACCCGUUCUUUGUCUUUGGAUCUUUUGAAUAAAUGGAUCAAUACAUGGUGAAUCGCAA